AUUGAACGCUGGCGGCAUGCCUUACACAUGCAAGUCGAACGGCAGCACGGGGCAACCUGGUGGCGAGUGGCGAACGGGUGAGUAAUGCAUCGGAACGUGCCAUUGAGUGGGGGAUAACGUAGCGAAAGUUGCGCUAAUACCGCAUAUUCUGUGAGCAGGAAAGCAGGGGGCCGCAAGGCCUUGCGCUCUUUGAGCGGCCGAUGUCAGAUUAGCUAGUUGGUGAGGUAACGGCUUACCAAGGCGACGAUCUGUAGCGGGUCUGAGAGGAUGAUCCGCCACACUGGAACUGAGACACGGUCCAGACUCCUACGGGAGGCAGCAGUGGGGAAUUUUGGACAAUGGGCGCAAGCCUGAUCCAGCCAUGCCGCGUGAGUGAAGAAGGCC
rnacentral:rRNA from 1 species